UGUUUGCCGGGGGAGCCUGAUGCAGCAACGCCGCGUGGAGGAUGACGCAUUUCGGUGUGUAAACUCCUUUUAUGAGUCAAGAAAAUGACGGUAGCUCAUGAAUAAGCACCGGCUAACUCCGUGCCAGCAGCCGCGGUAAUACGGAGGGUGCAAGCGUUACUCGGAAUCACUGGGCGUAAAGGACACGUAGGCGGGUUGGAAAGUCAGAUGUGAAAUCCUACAGCUUAACUGUAGAACUGCAUUUGAAACUUCCAACCUAGAGUAUGGGAGGGGGAGAUGGAAUUAGUGGUGUAGGGGUAAAAUCCGUAGAUAUCACUAGGAAUACCCAAAGCGAAGGCGAUCUCCUGGAACAUUACUGACGCUAAGGUGUGAAAGCGUGGGGAGCAAAUGGGAUUAGAUACCCCCAGUAGUACACA
rnacentral:rRNA from 1 species